rnacentral:sRNA from 1 species
CCAAAGUGCUGGGAAUACAGGUGUGAGCCACCACGUUUGCCUGGAGACAUCUAGUUUUGUUAGUGCUUGAAUCAAUCCAUUCCUCCUACAGGCCCGCCAAGCUGCCCCCUGUGUGCUAUUCUUUGAUGAGCUGGAUUCGAUUGCCAAGGCUCGUGGAGGUAACAUUGGAGAUGGUGGUGGGGCUGCUGACCGAGUCAUCAACCAGAUCCUGACAGAAAUGGAUGGCAUGUCCACAAAAAAAAAUGUGUUCAUCAUUGGCGCUACCAACCGGCCUGACAUCAUUGAUCCUGCCAUCCUCAGACCUGGCCGUCUUGAUCAGCUCAUCUACAUCCCACUUCCUGAUGAGAAGUCCCGUGUUGCCAUCCUCAAGGCUAACCUGCGCAAGUCCCCAGUUGCCAAGGAUGUGGACUUGGAGUUCCUGGCUAAAAUGACUAAUGGCUUCUCUGGAGCUGACCUGACAGAGAUUUGCCAGCGUGCUUGCAAGCUGGCCAUCCGUGAAUCCAUCGAGAGUGAGAUUAGGCGAGAACGAGAGAGGCAGACAAACCCAUCAGCCAUGGUG